rnacentral:snRNA from 1 species
AUCACUUCUCAGCCUUCUGGCUAAGAUCAAGUAUAGUAUCUGUUCUUAUCAGCUUAAUAUCUGACACACCCUCUACUUGAGGACAAUAUAUGAAAUGGAUCUUUGGAGCAGAGAGUUGGAAGAGGAGCUUGAAUUCCACCACAU